CUCACUUCCCAUGACAACCAAGGAGAAGUGGAGUACAGAUACAUCUUGUGUGCUUGUGUUUCUUGCUCAUGCAGACACUUCUUACAAAAUGGAGAUCAAGGCCACUUUCCUGCACAUGGCUGACUUGGAGCUCCAGCUGUGUCAGCCAUGGCAGAGCUGUUACUGCUUCACUGAGUAGGCACCCAGCGCCCCAGCUGAGGCAAGCUGUUUCGUAGACAGCCUUGAUCAUUUACCCUGGCUUCGCUCCCACUUGGCUCUGUCUCGUGGAGCAAUAGAAUCAUUUCCAUUCUUUCUCAGACUGUUUCAUUUUCUCUUGGCUGCUUUCCUCCUCCCAGGGGGAUUGUUUUCUCUCAAACUGUCAAAGAGUAAUGCUUAAACAUAAAAAACAAGACUUCAGACUCAUGUGAAUCAAAUAGAUGGCACCUCUGCCUACUCAUAAUGUCUCUCUGUCAUGUUGUCUGCCCCAUUAAUGCCCUGUAGUGGGAGGGGAAUGGUUCAUGAUUUAUAUUUUAACAUCAGGUAGGAACGAUGCCUCACUUUUCCCCUUCAUGUCAAAGAGCAGCAUUGUCUUAUUUAGUACAGGAGUCUCAUGAUCUGAAUAUUACUGAGUAUGUCUAGAUCUUCCUUAAAACACUCACAGCUUGGACCCCUCCCAGGUUCCUGUUUUUCAAAAGCUUCCUUUACUUCCCAAAUAAUUCUCAGAAUUUACCUUCUGGGUAGUUAACCUAGUGGGAGAAUUUAUUUGGUCUUAAUAUUCUCAUUGCUAAAUGCAAUACAUCUGAUGCUUAAUCACAGAUAUUGUCAGUACCUCUGGCCAGUCGCUGCAGUAAAUCUGAGAAAACUGGGGCCAUGAAAAAAGACACACAUGCUAGAGAACACUUCAUCAGGUGAUUUGGGAAGUGAAGACUGCCACGAUCAUUUCUCACUUUUCAGUCAGACAGCUUUAAAUCGACUGUGCUUUCAUGGCUGGCUGGGAAUCUUUUCACAUUGCUAGUGAGCUUUGCCAAGUACCACGGACAGAUCACAGCAUACGUGGAGAUCCUGACCCACAAUUCUGAUUGAGAAAAUAGUAAAUUAUGGGCCGGCCCAGUGGCAUAGUAAGGGAUCUUCCAGGUCACGUGCUGCAUCAGGACAAAAUGUAAUCCAGUCGCUUCAAUGCUUUGCCAGAGGUUUCUCCAACUCCCUUUCCCUUUUCUCUCAACUCCACAAAAACACAUAAGCCUUCCACAUACAGCUCAGCUGGUUUAUCACUUUCUCUUAGGUUUCAGUUUCUU
rnacentral:lncRNA from 1 species